GACGAACCGUGCGAACGUUGUUCGGAAUCACUGGGCUUAAAGGGCGCGUAGGCGGAUGACCAAGUCAGGGGUGAAAUCCCGCAGCUCAACUGCGGAAGUGCCUUUGAUACUGGUCGUCUCGAGGGAGAUAGGGGCAUGCGGAACUUCCGGUGGAGCGGUGAAUGCGUAGAUAUCGGAAGGAACGCCGAUGGCGAAAGCAGCGUGCUGGAUCUCUUCUGACGCUGAGGCGCGAAAGCUAGGGGAGCAAACGGGG
rnacentral:rRNA from 1 species